CGGGCACAGGUCAGGCACGGCCUGCAGGGCCAAGGGCCUGUGCCUCCCUUUCCUCUUCCUGGGAGCCACCCGGCCACCCAAACCGCUGUGGGCAGGACAAAGCCCAGCACAAAGGCCUGAGCCCUGAGUGGCAAGGAGGUUUUGGAACCAAGUAGCUCUCCCUUAGAGAACUUCCUGUUCAGUUCGGGCUCACAUCUUUCCAAAUCCAAGCACUCCCGUAAACACAGCACCCACGACACGCGGGCUGUUGCAGAAUCAGAAGGGAGCCUCCCACAAAGGUCUGCGCUCGCUCGCGGGUUUCUCGGAAGGGAAGGAGGCAGCAGCCGCAGACACGGCACACGUGUGCACGCGCCAGCACCCACACCUCUGCCGCACUCGUGUGUUCACGUGAGCACCCACACCUUCCGCUGUAUUUGUGUGCACACGCUAGCACCCACGCCUUCUGCCACACACGUGUGCACACACGAGCACCCACGCCUUCUGCCACACACGUGUGCACACACGAGCACCCACGCCUUCUGCCACACACGUGUACACACACGAGCACCCACACCUUCCGCCACACACGUGCACCCACGCCUUCCGCCACACACAUGUGCACACACGAGCACCCACGCCUUCCGCCACACACGUGUGCACACACGAGCACCCACACCUUCCGCCACACACGUGUGCACACACGAGCACCCACGCCUUCCGCCACACACAUGUGCACACACGAGCACCCACGCCUUCCGCCACACACGUGUGCACACACGAGCACCCACACCUUCCGCCACACACGUGCACCCACGCCUUCCGCCACACACAUGUGCACACACGAGCACCCACACCUGCCGCUGCACACGUGUGCACACGCCAGCCCCCACACCUUCCGCUGUAUUCGUGUGCACGUACCAGCACCCACACCUUCCGCUGCACUUGUGUUCACGUGAGCACCCACACCUUCUGCCACACACGUGUGCGUGCACCAGCACCCACACCUUCCACCGCACUCGUGUGCACGCACCAUCACCCACACCGUCCGCUGCUCCCUGCAGGCCCUGUCCCACCCCCCCCCACCUGUGCCCUCAGAGCCCAGUGUUCCCCUCGUUCCCACCCUCCCUGGCACAGCCCCGG
rnacentral:lncRNA from 1 species